UUUUUUAAUGCAGCUACUAAAAAUUUUUCAGUCACGCACAUGGCUCACAUUCUCUGUUGGUUUCACGGACUUAGAUGCCCUGCAGGACAUAAGGACAGAGCUGCAGGUGUCCAUCCAUCGGCCCAUUGUUAUUUAUUAUAUGCCAAACACUGGUUUUGGUGCUACAGCAGUAAACAACACAGGUACUGCUUCUGCCCCCCGAGGACUGACACCCUCCAACAGCGCAAACGGCAACAAACAAGGUCUGAGCAUGAUACGCGCCGUGGAAAUCAAGGCAGGGAGAAGCAUGCUGACGUGAGAGGGUAACAAGGGAUGUUUGCAGAGAGACCGGGAGGACGAGGACACACAAACCACGCAAAGCCUUUGGAGGAAGUGCUCCCGGCCGAGGUAAGGACCCUGGGGCAGGAAUGAGCUCCGUGUGUGUCAAGAACAGCAGGGUCAGGGGCCACGCUGACCACUGAGAGGGAACCGUCACAUGCAACCUGCAGGAGUGUGGACUUCACUCUGCGUCAUGAGAAACGGGGUCAUUUUAUAGGUGCUAUAACCUGACCUGUAUUUUCAAGACGAUGGGAACAGUCUCUGUGGAAGCAGACGGGAGGAGGGUGAGAAUGGAGGCGGGGGCAAAUCGGGGACCACUGCAUUGGUCCAGCCUAGAGAUGGUGGUGGCUUGGCCUCAGAAGGACCGGGGGUGGGGGGGUACGGGCGGUGGUGAACAGCAGACUUGGGGUGUGUUGUGAACACAGAGCUGAUUGCUGUGGGAAGAACAAACAGAAUCGGGAGGACUUAGGUUUGGGGCCUCAUCAGCAGUGUGACAUAGGUGCUGAUGGAAACAGGACUGGCCACCACAUAGGCGUGGGGUGUAACUCAAAGACUUUCAUUUGGGACAUGUCAGGUUUGUGAUGACAUCACGGGGGGCUGCUGGAUAAAUGGGUCUGCGUGAAACUCAGGGAGAGACCUGGACUGGACACUCGUGUGUCCACAGCAUGUGGUUAUUGGGGAGUUCCUGUCGUGGCUCAGAGGGUUAAGAAUCCGACUCGCACCCAUGAGGACGCAGGUUUGGUCCCUGGCCUUGCCCAGUGGACGAGAAGAUCUUGAGUUGUCGUAAGUUCUGGUGUAGGCUGCAGACUCGGUUCGGAUCUGGCGUUGCUGUGGCUGUGGUGAAGGCCUGAAGCUGCAGCUCCAGUGUGACCCCUAGCCUGGGGACUUCCAGAAGCUGAAGGUGUGGCCCUAAAAAAAAAAAGCAUGUGGUUGGCAUUUAAAGCCGUGGGAAAUGGUUAGAUUUCCUAGCAGAGGAAGAGAAGAGGGCCAAGGACUUGACCCCAGAGCAGUCCAAAGUGUAAGUACCAGGAGACAGGGAAAGCGCCGUCACAAAUCAAAACGAAGAAAAAAAGCUUUCGAGGAGGGAGUGGUGCCCUGAACCGCUGCUGCUUUGGACUCCAGGAAUCUAACUCCUCCAGGCGCUUGGCAGCUGCUUAUCUUCUGCAUGUGUCUGUGUUGGGGACGGGGAGGGCUGUUCAUGGGCUUCAGUGCCAGAAACGAGGGCUCAGUUGUUGUGAAGUUGCGAGGCCUUACUUAGGUGCGUGACUUAACUUCCCUGAACCUGGAUACACAUCCUCGGCACGCUCCCCAGUAAAUACUCAGGGGAGCCGCUCCCACGGAAUCCCACACGCACACGUCCCGCUAUCGCAUUUGUAUUUUAAAUUCACGCCCCUCCAUGGAGAUCCUAAUUGGCCAAAACAGGUUAUAGCAAUGGGUCUGGUCAGACUGAAAUCACACAGGAAUAUCUGAACCUGACCGCUACUCCAUUGCAUCUGUAUAACCGCAAGCCAGCUGUUUCAUCUCUGAGAUGUUCCAGCUCUGUAAAAUAGGAAUACUAUGUAAGAGCUCAAAGAUGGUGGAUUAUAUCCACAUUAAAUCAGACAAUGGGGAGGCCUGGCAGAAAUAAAAGCUCACUGAACAGUAUUUUUCAUCUCUGUAUCCACAACGCCAGUAUUCUCGAGGCCUGGGGCCUGACUGAAAAUGUGAGAAAGUAAGGACAGAAGCAAGCCUGCUUUCCCUCCUUCUAGAGCCCUGGGGAAAUGGAGGUACAGUCAGCUGUCACUCACGCCAGGGAACCUGGGGGCGCAGGAGGGGGGAGGAACAGUGGAUGAUGGAGGCAAAUACAGAUGCGGACGAUUCUGAAAACAGCAGGGAUGUCUUGUUCUUCCCUACCUUGUUGAGCAGACCCCCACCCCUCACACCCACACUCAAGGCCGGAAGUCCAGGCAUUAUCUAAGAUUCUGUCUUCCCUUUUACUCAUCCUGCUACAGCAUUUUAGUAAACAAGACGGAAAGCUAUUGCGCUUUCAAAAUGCCACACUCCAUCCAGCCCAAGACGCACCAUUGUUUUACGUAGCUGUAAGAAGGAGAAAAAUGCUGCCACUUACAUCACGACACUGCUGACUUCCAGAAGCACCCAGGCCUCAGAGAUGAAAAUGUGGGGGUUAGAAAAGUACACCUUAAAUGGAUGAAGUACUUGGGCGUUCCCACGGUGGCUCGGCGGAAACAAAUCCGACUAGUAACCAUGAGAAUCACGUCCGGUCCCUGGCCUCCAUCACUGGAGCCAACGUCGCCGUGAGCUGUGGUGUGGGCCACAGACGCGGCUCGGAGCCAACGUCGCCGUGAGCUGUGGUGUAGGCCGGCAGCUACAGUACCGAUUCAACCCCUAGCCGGGGAACCUCCAUAUGCCACAGGCGCUGCCAAAAAAAGACAAAAAAAUUGAUGAAAAUCUAGCACCAUCCUAGUUCAGACUUUCUUCACCUCUUGCCUGGAUUAGGAUGGAGGCACCUGGUGGUUUUCAAGGAGCUCCUUCUCUGCCGCCAAAAUGAGGUUUCUAAAGGUCCAUUUCACCCCCAAUCCUUCAAUCAGCUCUUCUCUCACAUCCCCCGGCCCAUCGCCUUCAUUUUAAACUAUGUUCACUGCCCCACACGUUGUACUGCUUCUUGUCAAUGUCCCUCACAGGUUAUUUUGUCCAGAAUUGCUUUUCACCCCAUUCCUCAUCCGUCUCUCUCCCAGCUGUCAGAAGUACGCGUGUUCUGGCCAGUAUCUACCUCAUCACUCUCUUCCUGACUGGCAGGAUUACUGGGUUGAUAGGGCUCGUUAAGUGGCUACCCCUUUGUUCAUUCACAAACUCCAUCCCAGAAAGAACCCUCCCCAACCCCCAAAGACAACCUUCCUGAGGAGAGGACAGCUGGAGCCUCCAGACAAGCGCUAACUCUUGUCGGUUUUUCAACACCAAGCAGGUGUUAGCUCCUCCGACGUCUUGUCAAAUUCUCCAGGCUAAGUUAGGCACCCUCCCUAACUAUAUCGUAUUCCGCGAUAUUCCAAGCAUAGCUUUAUCAUAGCCCUUCUUACACCAGGCUGACUUGCUUUCUCCCAGUCUAGACUAUGAGCUUCCUGGCUGUGUUAUUCUCCAGAAUCCGGAACCUGGAGACACUUAAUACUUAGUGACGACGGCAUGGACAGAUGGAUGGGUAAAUAAAAAACGGUUACAGUAUAUAAUCACUGGGUCCCAGUUCCCCUAAGAGAUGCCACCUCCGAAAUCACUUCACCAUGCCACUUUCUCUAAGCUUGGCAACUGGCUUAGCCAGAAAGGCUCAGUGGCACUCCCUGGUGGUCAGUGUGGGGAGCACAUCUUACCGAGCAAAAGAAAGUUUGCUUUUGAAUCACUGCUCUUUUCUGCUCCAGUGGUUAGGAAAUGUCAUGGGUCAGGUGGAUUUGUAGGCGUAUUCACAAAAAUUAACACUGCAACGUCCUUUGUAACAAAGAGAAAAAGGAGGUGGGUUUGUAUUUUCAAGACAACCGGGAAAGCACAAUGGCACCACCUGGUGGUCAGUGCAAAGAGCACACCCUAUGAACAGGAAAAUCUUGCUCUUGAAUCCCUGCCCUCUGCUCCAGCCACUAGGCAAGGUCAAGGGUCGGGUGAAUUUAUAGUUUCAAAAGAUCAGACUGAUGAGUGUAUGCAGAACGCACUGGAGAGGAGGACAGAGGAAGCAGGGACACAGACGGGAGGAUGUGUGGUCAGAAUUGAGCGUCCAGUCCAGAUCUGCGACUUUAACACCCAGGCUUUACCGCUGUACAAUACUGCCUCUUCCACCCAUAACACUCCGGCCUCCCUCUCAGCUGAGCACUGCAGACCCACCAAGAUUCAGAAAUUUCCGCUUUCUGGUAUUCAUGCCCUGGGGUAAUGUGAGCUGCCUAGUGAGUUGUUUCUAAUUAACAGAACACAACAAAGGAGUGAGAUGCUGUGGCCGAUGAGAACAUGUAAGACUGUAACUUCCAUCCUGCUGGCGGACUCUCAGCCCUCGUCGGCUCUGAUAAGAAAGCUGCCGCACGGGUAAGACCCCUUCGGCAAAGAAUGAAGGGCCGCCUCUGGCUCAUACCUCCUUAGGAAACACAGCUCUACAGUCCUACGGCCCUUGCAGAGCUGAAAUCCUACCAACAAUCUAAGUGAGCUUGGAAGCAGAGCCCUCUUCAGCUGAACCUUCUGAGAAAGGCACAAACAAGCCGGGCCCGUGAUUCGACCUCAGCCUCGUGAGAAACCCUGAAGCAGAGGACUCAGUUAAGUGUGCCUCAUCUCCUGACCCAGAAAUUCUGAAAUAAUAAAUGUGCGUUGUUUUAAGCCCCUGAGUUUGUGAUAACUAAUGCAGCAGUAGGUAAUAAUAAAGCACACGCAAAAUGUGUCAUUACCACGCAAGUCAGGACCUUCUGAAAAUCUGAGAAACUUUCUGCAGUUAGAAUCAACUCUCGGCGGAAUAGUGGGAGAGAGAGAGAGAGAGAGAGAGUGAGUGUGUGUGUGUCCCCCACUUCCGGCAGCAGAGCAGCCAGAGGCUUUUGGAGCUGACUCCACACAGCCUCCUCCUAUGAACAGAGUGACCAAGCAUCACCUGUGUGACCUCGUCAGGACCUAGCACCAACCUACGCCAGGUCUUUGCAGACCCUUUACAGCUCACAAGGAGCAAAGCUUACAAAGAAAGGCCAUGGUCUCCAAGAUCACGGGGUUGUGGUAUCGCCAAGCAGAGCAGCACAAAGGACAUUCACCCCCAAAGAGGAAUGCGGGCAACUGUGAUUUCCAGUCCAGAUCUCACUAUACCCCUCCACUUUUAUCUCCCUUUCCCAGCUGUACCCACAGCGUAUGGACGUUCCCAGGCCAUGGGUCAAAUCCUGGCUGGAGCUUCACGCUACGCCACAGGGAACAGCAAUGCUUGAUCCUCAACCUACUGUGCCAGGCCAGGGAUCGCACUG
rnacentral:lncRNA from 1 species